CUUUCCGAUUUUUGUUUCGUGUAAUUUUUCUACCAUUAUAUUCAUCAUUUUGUUUCCCACAGGUUGAUCGAAGAAAAACGCCCAACCGCGAAUGUAAGUCGGCAGAGCCACCGCACCGAAAAACUCCGCCGCCGGUAAGCUUCUAUUUUUCGAAUUUUUCGGCCAACCGAGACCCCUUAACGUGUUUUCUCAUAGGAAUGAGUACAAAAACUGCUGAAAUCAGCCGAAAUUAGCCAAAAAGGGCCAGCCUGAGGCAAACACCACCCCGAGCGGCAAUGCCGUUGCCAGAGCACGGUGGUGCCGCUGUGUCCAAAAUUGGCUGGAAAAGAGUUUUAUCACCGAUUUUGAAUUUUUUGGGAUAUUU
rnacentral:lncRNA from 1 species